rnacentral:tRNA from 1 species
CAGAAGAUAGUUUAAGAAAAAUUUAGGUUUUGGAAAUCUAAGAUGCCGAAAAGGUUUUUCUGA